rnacentral:rRNA from 1 species
UGUCUUGUGGUGGAAAGCUUUUGCGGUGUGGGAUGGGCCCGCGGCCUAUCAGCUUGUUGGUGGGGUCACGGCCUACCAAGGCGACUACGGGUAGCCGGCCUGAAAGGGUGUCCGGCCACACUGGGACUGAAAUACGGCCCAAACUCCUACGGGAGGCAGCAGUGGGGAAUAUUGCACAAUGGGCGCAAGCCUGAUGCAGCGACCCCGCGUGAGGGACGACGGCCUUCGGGUUGUAAACCUCUUUCAGCACAGACGAAGCGCAAGUGACGGUAUGUGCAGAAGAAGGACCGGCCAACUACGUGCCAGCAGCCGCGGUAAUACGUAGGGUCCGAGCGUUGUCCGGAAUUACUGGGCGUAAAGAGCUCGUAGGUGGUUUGUCGCGUUGUUCGUGAAAACUCACAGCUCAACUGUGGGCGUGCGGGCGAUACGGGCAGACUAGAGUACUGCAGGGGAGACUGGAAUUCCUGGUGUAGCGGUGGAAUGCGCAGAUAUCAGGAGGAACACCCGUGGCGAAGGCGGGUCUCUGGGCAAUAACUGACGCUGAGGAGCSAAAGCGUGGGGAGCGAACAGGAUUAGAUACCCUGGUAGUCCACGCCSUAAACGGUGGGUACUAGGUGUGGGUUUCCUUCCUUGGGAUCCGUGCCGUAGCUAACGCAUUAAGUACCCCGCCUGGGGGAGUACGGCCGCAAGGCUAAAACUCAAAGAAAUUGACGGGGGGCCCGCACAAGCGGCGGGAGCAUGUGGGAUUAAUUCGAUGCAACGCGAANGAACCUUACCUGGGUUUNGACAUGCACAGGACGCCGGCAGAGAUGUCGGNUUCCCNUUGUGGCCCUGUGUGCAGGUGGUGCAUGGCUGUCGUCAGCUCGUGUCGUGAGAUGUUGGGUUAAGUCCCGCAACGAGCGCAACCCUUGUCUCAUGUUGCCAGCACGUCAUGGUGGGGACUCGUGAGAGACUGCCGGGGUCAACUCGGAGGAAGGUGGGGAUGACGUCAAGUCAUCAUGCCCCUUAUGUCCAGGGCUUCACACAUGCUACAAUGGCCGGUACAAAGGGGUGCGAUGCCGUGAGGGGGA